rnacentral:sRNA from 1 species
UAGGAACUUAGCAGAGAAAAUAGGCAUAAGAUAGAUUUCACACAAAUGUUGGAGCCCAACUUGCAUUGUCUGUAGAAAUUGGAAAUCCAAUUUCUCUAUGUUGGGGCCCCAGCCCAACUUGCACAUUAAAGUAAGCUGACAUUACGUCACCUUCUAUGUUGGGGCCCCACCCCAACUUGCAUUGUUUGUAGAAUUUCUUUUCGAAAUUCUCUAUGUUGGGGCCCCUGAACUAAAUAGUAUGAAAAAAAUAUAUAU